rnacentral:tRNA from 1 species
UCCCAUGUGGCUCAGUGGUAAAGAAUCUGCCUACAAUGCAGGAGACCCAGGUUUGAUCCCUGGGUCGGAA